rnacentral:rRNA from 1 species
CACGUAGGGUGCGAGCGUUGUCCGGAAUUAUUGGGCGUAAAGAGCUCGUAGGCGGUGUGUCGCGUCGGCCGUGAAAACCUGCAGCUUAACUGUGGGCUUGCGGUCGAUACGGGCAUCACUGGAGUUCGGCAGGGGAGACUGGAAUUCCUGGUGUAGCGGUGAAAUGUGCAGAUAUCAGGAGGAACACCGGUGGCGAAGGCGGGUCUCUGGGCCGAUACUGACGCUGAGGAGCGAAAGCGUGGGGGAGCGAACAGGA